rnacentral:rRNA from 1 species
GAUGAACGCUGGCGGCGUGCUUAACACGUGCAAGUCGAACGAUGAAAGCGGGAGCUUGCUCCUGCUGGAUUAGUGGCGAACGGGUGAGUAACACGUGAGCAAUCUGCCCCGAACUCUGGGAUAAGCGUUGGAAACGACGUCUAAUACCGGAUACGACGCGCGAAGGCAUCUUCUGCGCGUGGAAAGAACUUCGGUUCGGGAUGAGCUCGCGGCCUAUCAGCUAGUUGGUGAGGUAACGGCCCACCAAGGCGACGACGGGUAGCCGGCCUGAGAGGGUGACCGGCCACACUGGGACUGAGACACGGCCCAGACUCCUACGGGAGGCAGCAGUGGGGAAUAUUGCACAAUGGGCGCAAGCCUGAUGCAGCAACGCCGCGUGAGGGACGACGGCCUUCGGGUUGUAAACCUCUUUUAGUAGGGACGAAGCGCAAGUGACGGUACCUGCAGAAGAAGCACCGGCCAACUACGUGCCAGCCGCCGCGGUAAGAC